UUGUAGGUGUUGGGCAAAACAAAGCUUCAAAACGCUCGUAUCCACAGAAGGACCCGAGAAGUGAUAAAGAAAAUGAUAGGCGAAAAUGCAUGUAUCCCCAAGCAAACGGAGGAGGCCACAUUCCCCUUUAUUUUACAGGUGUUGGGCAAAAAAAAGCUUCAAAACACUCGUAUCCACAGAAGGACCCGAGAAGUGAUAAAGAAAAUGAUAGGCGAAAAUGUAAGU